CAACUGCGAUAAAUAAUGUGAACUGCAGAUAUUUUGAACAUUGAAAAUUCGAAUGCACAUUGCGCCAUUGGAAUUAUAUCCUUUGGCACAUCUGGCUCAGGGUUGUUAAUAAAAAACGAAUGCCUUUUUCGUUCACCCAUCGCUGGCUGGAUCACGAUGAACAUCUCUGCUGGUUCUCAACUAUGUUAGGUUGGCCAACAAGGAGAACUAUCGUGUUCUUGUCUGAUUGUUAACUACCCCGAUUGUGUGGAUGUUGGUGGUUUGGUGGACAAGUGGAUCAGCCUCUCGAUUCCAGUCCCCUCCACCAGUCCCCACUCGGGUUUCGAUUUAUCGACCUGAGCUCAGGUGUGAGUACCUGCUGAACUUAA
rnacentral:misc_RNA from 1 species